GAAAAACGAAAGGUGGGUAUUUUGGUGGUUUUUUUUUUUGGGGGGGGGGGUUCAGAUUUUAUUUCCUGUACAGCAAAAUCCAAAGUGAGCCCAAGCCAUUUUAAAGCUGAAGAGAGAUCUCAUGCAAGAAUACAGCCAGCAUCAAACUGCUAAUGUCUUCCAUUUUCUUUUGAGGCAGGAAAAUAUCUUACUUCUUUUAUGGAAGAAGGAUAAGUUGAACUGUUGUAAGGUCAAAUAAUAUAGCUAAGCAUUUAGAUAGAUAUAUAAAGAAACAUUGUAAGAGCACUUUGCAACCAAGGAUAACCUCUGGCUUAUGCAGCUUGCAUCAUGACCAUGCAGAACUUGUUUAAUGGUUUGGAGUACAAGAGAAGCUCGUUGUGUAGGCAGAGCUGUAUGGAAAUGUUCUAAGCAAACAUGGGGAGAGGGAGCUUUUGCCUUGCACAGGAGCACACUCAAAGCAGUAGCUUAGAGUAAAAUUUACAGUGUUGUGAAUAGCUCAGUAGCAUUAUGCAAUAGUACUGGGAAAAGCAUAAGCAAAUCCUGAGUUUCCCGGUGCUGAAGUAGCAGAAUGCACUUCAUUGGGCAUAAACAUACGAGGAGGAUUAAUUCAAAACAAGAUUGUCUAAGUGGUGCUUAUCACUGUAUAUCCAAAAUACUGUUAUAGGAAGUUACCAAACUGAAGGCAGUCUCGCCUCAGUAAUCAGUGCCCCACUGGACUGAAAUCCAUAAUCUGUAAUCAUAUCGGUGCUGCAGUUCUUCUCAUGCCUUAUCAUUGAUACCUGUGCUGCUGUGGAGUACAUUUUAGGCAGUUUAAGUGGCUUCUGACAGUUAAUGAUUGGCUUAUGCUCUGAAAGCAAUAUAGCUUGAUUAUUUACAUCUCAUACAAAAUAAUGAGGGCUGUAAUAAAAUGUUUCUGCUAGUCUCUUAAUUAUCUUGAUGUAAUCCAUUCCAGCUCCAGCCAUGCUCAUUUAUGAGGAUCCAUCGCGCAGAAGUCUGUCUAUGGAACUUUCCUAUAAAGCCUGUGGCAUUCCAGUUUGACUGUGGAAGCAAGUUUUCUUUUACAGAAACUGAUACUGGUGUGACGAAGGAGGACAGGUAGCUCUAGAGACUUCAGAGGUUGCAGAAUACAGCAGCUUUUCCCAGAAGUGUAUCAGAGUCUUGCUUCCAGUAAUGUCUGAACACUGUGGUUACGGAGAAAGGAUGAUCCGUUCCUGGGUCCUCUUGCCUGCAGUGCUGUGUGCCACCAAAGCAGUAGAUGAACUCUCGCUAUCGACUGGAAGCAAGGUUGUGUGUGAAGAUCACUGUGUGCUGCUUACUUUGUUAUAAGUCCCAACAUUUGGAAGUGAGGGAAGUGGACAGAGAAGUGGGGAACGCAGUGCUUUCUGUCUCUGUUCAGAAAGAAUGGUUUUCAUAAGGGGUUUGAAGCUGUACAUGUACGAUGAUAAAGAGCAGAACCAACAUGGCAUGAACACACAAGCUUAGAGCCAAUGUGAAAUAUGCCCCAGGCUUGGUCUUAAAUCAUAGUUUACGUCUUGUCACAGACAUCUGUAUAUUAUUACUUAUUUUCAAGUAGAUUACUUUUCUUUUUAGAAGUCCAAGUAAUGCCUAAACAAAAGGUUAUUGCAAGCAGCUUUGGGUUUAAUUCGUGAGGUGCUGCAAUAAGGAAACUAUUUGAGGAUAGAGGUAUUAGCUAUUUGGUUAUUUGAGAAUAACUGCUAGCCAUUACACAGAAACAUAUCAUGCUUGCUACUAUGGUAUCUUACAAAUAUUUACUAAACAACAUCUUGCUUAAAUCCUAUUCCUUGUUAUUCCAUUUGGCUGUAUGAGAACUGCCAAACAGAGCGACCUGAUGAUGGCUGUAAGCUGGGGAAGCUGUUCCUCAGGAGUGGUGGUGCCUUAUUGCCCCGUUCUUAGUCUCACCAAGGAGUUAGGUAUCUCUUCUUACCGGGCUGCUCAUUAGCAGGUCUGUGUGCCUUACAGAAGGAAUUGGUAUCACACUGUCAUUUUGCUGCAGAGGGAGAAACUGAGGCAUAAUGGAGCAGAAAAAAACAUUGUGGUUGGUGCGUAGCAGUAAUAGUAGUGCCAGGCUGGAGAUUAAGCCAGCUCUGCUGAGAUUUUAUCCAAUACUUUCCAGUGGGUCAUAAAUGCAUAAAGUAAUCAGGCAAGGACUUUGUCAGAGCACAUCUGCUCCAGUGUUUCUGGUAAAAGUACAUCCGUUAUCCCAAUUAAAUCAUAUGGUCCGGCACUGAUGAUGUGUGAAGGUAAAGCCAUCAGUGGCCUGGCUGUGUCUUUCAGACAGACCAAGAAGAAUGUUGGGCAAGCUAAAUCCAUUUAAUUUCUGGUGCUGCCAAUGCUGGAUAUGGGUGUACGUGGAAGUGGAGCCUCAGGGAUUUCACUGGGGGCUCCAUGUGGACAAAAUGAUCUCUUUCACUCAAGGAAGCUUAUAAUAUCAAAACCACUGUAAGAAAAUGGUCUCUGUACAAAGCUUACCGAGAUGAAGGUUUUCCAAUGGCAUGUCAGUUAACAUUCCCAAGAAGUGGUUUACCUGAGAUUAAUAAUGCAUUUGGAGGAGGUCUGUGAGAUAGCCUGCUGCUCCUGUCAAGUCUCCUGCCAGUCCCAGAAGGGAGGAGGUAAGUUGUAUUUUCCUCUUGCUGUUCUGCUUGCAUAAAAGUGACCUGGGAAAAUAAGAGUAAGCAGAUGAGGCAAGGAGAAAUUGGUUGACUGGGUCUAACUGCAAAAAGGAAAUGCAAACCCCUCAAUUCACCCUCAUGCUAAGGUGUUGUGGUUUUUUUUUUGAAGAAUAAAAGGAGGUAGCAGAAUUCAUGCAAGGCUUUAUACAUUUGUUUUCUAUAACAGUGCUUUGUUUCCUUUUGGUCCUUCAAGUCCUUUUUCAGUACUGGAAAUAAGCAACCACAUAGAGCAGGAUUUUUCCCUGCUGCUGUGCAUGUGUAUGAACAGCUUCCAAAGGAGGCUUUUGUGGGGCAUCAGAUGGGUUUACCUUGGGCUCAAUGAGUCCUUCAGUUAGGCUUUAAUAUAUUAUUUUCCCUGUCAUUUCUGCUUAGAUAGUGACAUUGAAUGCUCUGAUGAUAUCAACCAACUAUGUGUUCCUUCACUGUCAAGUAUUUGGGAUGGAAAUUUAGCAGGCAGUUAGAUUAAAAUAAAAAUAUCCUGCUGGCAAGGAAAUAAAUUGAAUUAAGUCGGUGCUGCUCUGAAUGUUGGUAACUGUGGAUGAGUUUUCAUGGUUCAUUCUGAAGAGCUACCGAGGCACCCAACAGCUCAUAUAUUAAUGCUAAAUUACUGUUGUUAAAUUUAUUUCCCAAUUCUCUUUGGUAUUUAAAAAAUGCAUUAUCCCCACAUUGCAAAACUUGAAGAAGCUCUUUAUCCAUACCUCGGAACACAAGAAAUGGAAAAGCGGCAUCUAAAGUAAGAGGAAAUUGUCACAUGAACAACUGCACGUAAACCGGCGGUGAAUAAAAGAUGUUCCGUGCCAUCAGGGAGAGGGAAAUCUCCUCUUAGAGCUUCACAAGGGAAGUGUAGGGACCAAAGCCCUCGGGCUUUCUGUGGGGCUGAAUCAGAUCAUGAAAGAAGCUAUAAGUAGGUGAGCAGUCCCAAGGGAUGGCACUAAGCCACGUAGGAAGUCUCUUCUGUGCGGUAGUCUUUGAGGAACAGUCUCAGAGAUUGUUAAAUAUUGAAGGAAAUAUGAACUUCAAAAAGUGGUUUUUAAUUUAAAUAUCGUAAUAGUUGUUGUGUGUAAGAAGUAGAAAGCAUUGAGUUCAACUGUGCCGAAGGGAGGGCGAUGCCUGGCUACAACUCCUACUGAGCUCUGCCCCUUUCUGGGAGCUCGUAGGGCAGCCCAGAUCUUUCUUAGGGUAUGCCUUCUAUUGGAACACGAGUUCUUAGGGUGUGACUUUUCAAGCUGAGAUGUCUGCACAUGAAAGAAUUUGAGCUUUCAAAGAACUCCGGGCCUUUGCUUACCUCCUCUUGAAUUGUAGGGAUCUGAACUACUCGGAAAAGACGAAUUUACGCCGCUUUUCCAAAGGUGGGAUCUGGUUCCUUUGUUUGUACUGAAAGAUUGAUCAGAGCAGGUAAACAGACAUUUGGUGCAUAGCUAAUUAUGAGCUAUGGAAAAAUGGACAUUUUUUUUUAGUUGUUCCUAAAAGAUCAGGCUUAGGAUUCAAAGCCGUAACGCAUUUAUUGUGGUAACGCAAACUGAAGUCAUGUGAAUCGAGAACCAUAAGGGUUCCAUUAGCACACAUGGAAAGUCGAGUUGGGUCUGUAAUAGCACUGACAGUAAGUCCCAUUCAGGAGCAUUACUUCUUAAAAAUUAAACAAACCUCUCAAGUGGCUUAACGUGUAGCUGACAGUGCCAGCACGCUUCAAUUUCCAUUCAACCUGAAGUUGCCACACUCUCCAUUCUAAAUGGAAAUAGUGUUCUGCUGAUGUCACUGGCAAGCCUCCUUUUCUCCCAGCAAAAAUGUUUGUGUUACGGUGACUUCUUGAUCCCUGAGAAUACGUUUGUCUUGGUGAUCUGCUUCAGAUGCAAAUUGCUAUACCAGUCAGCUUGUGGGAAGAUAAAACCUUUCUUUAUUUUUAGUUCUGUCCAUUUAAAUCCAACGUGCAGUGCUAGAUGUUGGAAUCAACGUGGAUUCUUUCUGCUCGGAAGCCUCUGGGAAGAGAUGUCUCACCCCAGUGCUCAAAGGCUGCUUCUAAUUCUGUUGUUUUUUUAAUGUUAUUUCUUUAAGUGAUACCUAUGGAACGUGUUAGCCACCGAUUUGGGAAAUCUCCCUUGUAUCUCAGUCUUCUGUUUCUCUUGUUUCCUCCCCUGGCCUCAAAGCAGCAGCACAGCUGUGCCAGGAUACCCAGGACUGCUUUUCUGCGCCUCGUCCUUUCAGCCCCAUUGGAUGCUCAGCAGGAGCCGCUCAGUUCACACACGCAGUGCGUUCUGCCUUCCAAGAGCUUUCCAUCAGGCGAGAGGCUCUCUUCUUUUUGCCUGUUUCAAAUGUACCGUUCCACGUGUCCUACAAGAAGUCUUCACGCACCUCUCCAGGUAUUCAGGGAGAAGAAGUCCAUUUUUCUGUUGCCAUCAGACUCAGUGCUUCGUGCAGUGGUCCAUGAUGAGACCACUCAGGAAAAUACUCUUAGCUGUGGUUUCCAGCACAAGAAAUGUUGCAAAUCUGAGUUUAAAAAAAAUCAAGUUUGGCUGCUGCACAACACUUUCUCAGUUGAUUCCUUAUUAUUUAACACUUCUCUGAAGUUCAAGUCUUUCUUUUUUUUUUUUUUGUCUCCCCCCUUCAAUACAGCCUUCAUCCAAAAGACACUGCCAAAUGCUUUACAAGUAGUACAGAGAAAGAGAAAUUGUUUCUGGCACCUAUUGCAGUAGUCAGCACUGAGCAUCCUGCUUACCCAGCUCACAAAGCACAGAGCCUUAUUUUGUUAGGAUGUACAAAUGCUUCUGCUAUCAAACAAGCAAAAGGACAGCCAGCCCACCUAACCUGCUACCAGCUAGCCACCAAGGUGAGCUUACUGAGCCACUGAGCUUGUAGUUGUAUCAAUGGACACCAUUUGGUCAUUUAUAUUUCUUGCGAAAGAUGGUGGUCCCAUGGUGUGAGCUUUGAUAGCGUGGUAUCAGAAUGUUGUCCCAGUUAUGCCUACUGAUCAGUAAUUCAGAAGGCUCUGCACUAGUGAAGUGCUGGGAGGAGAGGUGCCUUCUGUUUUCUGCUCCAUACUUCCACUCUCUUCCCUCUCUUUUUUUUUCCAAGGUUGGCUUGGUAUUAUGUCAUUUCAGAUGGACAAGAUUAAGUGAAAUCCUGCUUUGGGUUUCUGAUGCUCUCCCCUCUGUUUUGUGUUAACACUGAGAAUUUGUUUCUGUGUUGUUUGUGGCUGAGGCUUUUUUCCCCACCCCCUGCCUGAGAUGGCUCAAGAAAUGCUGAACAGAGUGCUUAAUGAUUUCCAGUGUUUUCUCUUGACAUUUUAGUUUAGGAGAAUGAGCAAUGCCUCCACUGGGGACUUCCCUGGCAGAUCCACGUCUGAACAGCCAGGGCUGGCUUCCAAGAACAUUAAAUUCCAGCUGCUUUUCCAUCCAAGGCAAGGUUAGUUUAGUAUCCCCCUUCCUCCCUGUGUCUUUACAGCAGGAGAUAUUCUAGCCAACGUAUUCGUCAUGUUUCUGAGCCUCCCUGCUGCUUGAUUUAUGCAGAGAGGACCAGGGAGAGAGAUUCCAGUGUGAACUACCUGCAGGUGUGCAGCAGGGUGCCGCAGUCCAUGCGGACCAGCUAUGCUGGCUGAUCCCCACACGUGGCACCAAGGCUGUUCCUUUCCCAUUGGUGAGUGCUGUGAGAUGCCCUUGGUGCUUGGGAGCGCCACAGAGAGAAGCAGGAGGGUGAGGGAUGCUGAGAUGGAGUUUCCAAACUUGCAGCUGACGUUACUCACCUCAUUAUUCCUUGUACUUCACUGUGCUGUUAAACUGUAGAUAACUGUAUGCAAGGCUUAAAAAAAAAAAAGUUAUCUUAAUGUUCCCUGUGUUGUGCAGCUCAUGCACUCGUUCUGAGGUGAAGCAAGUGACUUAUGCCUGUUUUUUUUUUAAGAUAGGUUAUGCAUAUUUGGUGCCUGGCUUAACGCUGCAAGGGACAUAAUUUUCAGUGGUAUAAUGGACCGCUUGAGCCUCUCUUGUCAACUGGGAGUUUGAGUAUGCAGCGCGUUUGGAAAUGCAGCCCAUCCUUACCCAGCAACUGGCAAGGGAGAAAUCCAGACCUGCCAGUCGCUAUUUCAGCCUGUGACUUCUGCUCGCCUUUGUCCCAUCCAAGCGCGGUAAGGCAGAGCUUGUGUGCUCUUCUGGAGUUGGCUCCGCGUCUGCAGCUGCACGUUGAAAGGUACCGCAGUGUUUUCAGAAACCCAAAAGGUAGCCAGUCUCCAGCUGGUAAAAUUGUCAUCGUUCAUCGACUGAUUGAACUGCGGAAAUUUACCCAAGUAGAGGAUCAGGUCCAGUGUACACAGCUGGGAACCGAGCUGAGCUCAGUAGCUAUCUGUGCUCAGUGCUAAGCACCGGCCAACUGGGUUGCGCACGACUUUCUGCUAGGUAGCAGUGUGUCGAUCAAUGUCCUCUUGUUCGCUUGGAUCCAUGUUGUCUCCCAUUGCUCUGUCCCUUCUCUGUUCUCCUUUCCCUUCUAACUAAGCAACGUCUUACAGGCAGCGAGAGGGCGAGCCACAAUAGAUGAAAACAGAUCUGUUUUUGUGAUGUUUCUGGGGAAAACGUUCCUGCCCUUACACUUGAACUUCUCUAAGAGUGGUUAUAUUUCAUUACGCAUCUUAUCCUUGUUUGUGAAACAAGCAUGAGCUGUGCUUGCUAUGAGUUCAGUAGAGAAAAGAAAUGGAUAUUUGGGGAAGAUUGUUCCUCACUUGACAGCAUUAUUGUAAGCAAGGAAAUUUAAAGGAGGUUUUGCUUAGGCCCUCUAUUUUUCUCUGACUUUGUGUUUGUAUUUUUUUCCUGAAGUUUGUCUCAAGGUCUGCAUGAAGACCCAAACCUCUAAAAUGCUUUAAAGUCGAUCUCUCUCUGCCCGCGUGUAUUCAGCUAGCGUGGUAAAAUGUUUUGUUUCUCUUUUUUCUUUCCAGAGUCUAUGAGAUCAUUCAAGUACGGAGACUUGGCAGCCUCCAUGUACGUACAAAGACGGCUGUUUGAAUUUCAGACUAAGUGUCGUUCUGGCUAAGGAUGAAUUAUUUGGUGUGUUACAUGAGGAUUUGCUGCUUUAUCUGGCCUGAAUAAGGUGAACCCUGAGGCUGAGGGGAAGGGAGGAGAACAGAGGGCCCAGGAGAAUGGGCGAAGCUGGCAAAGGCUAGACUGAAUGUCUGCAUAGUUAGCAAAGGACGUGGCCUGGAAAGGGAGACCUCGGUGUCAUGGAGGGCCCUUGCCUGAAUGUGAUGCCUAUAGGCCAUAUUUUAAAACAAAACACUAACACAUUCAGCCUUCCUUGCUUUUGCUCCAAAUCACUGCAGCCGUGAGCUCCACCAGUGCAGACCUCCCUCACGAAAGCCACGGUGAUGUCACGUCCAGCAGCACAGGAGGGGAUCAGAGCGUGCUCCUACCCAUUCAGCACAGCCCCGAGAUUACUUUUAACCAAGGUCACUUCUGCAGUUCACUUGACAACAGCCUGGGCAGCGGCACACUACUGGCACAGCCUGCGGACUGCUAUAGGGAUGGGAGGACAAACAGUGACAAUUGUCUCCCGGAUUUACUGCGUCGAAGCUGUGCCGCGGCUGCCUUCUGAUCAGAAGUGGGUAGAUAAAUCUGCUCCGUGUUCUGCAGUGACUGCCUGCUGCCCUGAAGGAAGCGUGUCAUGUCUGCAAGGAAGCGUUUCAACCUGCAGCCGUGGAGUACGAACAGCAUCAAUCACUCCUUUCCAACAAAGGUUGGGUUGUGCUGAGCCCUAAUCUUUUAAAUAAGACCUACUGUAACAUGCACAGAAUGUUUCCCAUGUUGGAUUCUACCUUACAAGCACUGAUUACGCCCACUGAUGCUUCAUGAGACAACCAAGCCAGACUUGUGCCUCGAUUUGAAAAUACUCUGACACAAUAAAAGAAGACUUCUUAAUAUUUCAUUCCUUUGCUGCAAAGCUGGAAAGCACGGAAAAAACACCUGGUUUUGUUGGGUUUGGUUUGUUCUGUUGUAGUGGGUUUUUGGUGUGCAGGCAGCUCUGAGCUUUCCAU
ensembl:lncRNA